rnacentral:rRNA from 1 species
UUGAACGCUGGCGGCAGGCCUAACACAUGCAAGUCGAGCGGAUGAAGAGAGCUUGCUCUCUGAUUUAGCGGCGGAUGGGUGAGUAACGCGUGGGAAUCUGCCCAGUAGUGGGGGACGACAGCCGGAAACGGCUGCUAAUACCGCAUACGCCCUACGGGGGAAAGGGGGGGAUCUUCGGACCUCUCGCUAUUGGAUGAGCCCGCGUCGGAUUAGCUAGUUGGUAGGGUAAAGGCCUACCAAGGCUACGAUCCGUAACUGGUCUGAGAGGAUGAUCAGUCACACUGGAACUGAGACACGGUCCAGACUCCUACGGGAGGCAGCAGUGGGGAAUAUUGGACAAUGGGGGAAACCCUGAUCCAGCCAUGCCGCGUGUGUGAAGAAGGCCUUAGGGUUGUAAAGCACUUUCAGUGGGGAGAAAGGUUUGUCACCUAAUACGUGAUGAAAUUGAUGUUACCCACAGAAGAAGCACCGGCUAACUCCGUGCCAGCAGCCGCCGUAACAC